CGAUGAUUGGGGUGAAGUCGUAACAAGGUAGCCGUAGGGGAACCUGCGGCUGGAUCACCUCCUUUAAGGAAUA
rnacentral:rRNA from 1 species